GUCCGGGUGGCGGAAUGCCAGACGCGCUGAGGUGCUAGUGCCCUUUAUCGGGCGUGGGGGUUCAAGUCCCCCUCCGGACA
rnacentral:tRNA from 1 species